GAUGAACGCUGGCGGCGUGCCUAACACAUGCAAGUCGAACGAACCAGUCAGAUUGAUUUCUUCGGAAUGAAAUCAGACACGGUUAGUGGCGGACGGGUGAGUAACACGUGGGUAAUUUACCUCUUAGACAGGGAUAACACUGGGAAACUGGUGCUAAUACCUGAUAAAGUUUAUAUAAGGCAUCUUAAAUAGAUGAAAUGGAGGCCUCUCAAAGAAGCUCCCGCUAAGAGAUGAACCCGCGGCUGAUUAGCUAGUUGGUAAGGUAAUGGCUUACCAAGGCAACGAUCAGUAGCCGGCCUGAGAGGGUGAUCGGCCACACUGGGACUGAGACACGGCCCAGACUCCUACGGGAGGCAGCAGUGGGGAAUAUUGCGCAAUGGGGGAAACCCUGACGCAGCAACGCCGCGUGAGUGAAGAAGGUCUUCGGAUUGUAAAGCUCUGUCAAUUGGGAAGAAGGCUUACAGGUAAAUAGCCUGUGAGAUGACGGUACCUAAGAAGGAAGCUCCGGCUAACUACGUGCCAGCCGCCGCGGUAAAAC
rnacentral:rRNA from 1 species